AGGUUCGCUUUAUUAACCAUAUGUGAUACCUAUGUUGGGGUUAGGAUGUGGUAUUCGGAAGUGUAUAAUUAUUGUGCAUUUCCUUGUAGUGAGCUUUCUUAUCUUCUUCCUUCUGAAUGAUUCACUACUAAUUCAAAAUGACAACUACCAAGUUCGCUAUUAGACUAGACCACUAAUCGUUACUUACCAUGAAAAUGUAUCGAGAGUCAUAAAUUCAGUCACCCCCUUUCUAAUAAAGAGGAUCCAUACAAGAUCCAGGUGGUCUGCCUAACCGUAUAAACGACGUAAAAAGCUAAAAAAUUAAAUUAUCUUACUAAAAUGAAGUGUGCUCUUCACCUUCCUAUGCCGCUUCUUCUGUUAAUGCUUUGCUUUCAUACGAUUGAUUGUAGGUAGAAUGCCUCAUUGACUGACCUUACUUUCACUCUAGCUACCUAUUUGACAAAUCAAGUUAUUCUUUGGGGAUAAGCCCUUCCUUUCACCUCAUGAGAAGAAGUCCCAACUCGCUCAAUAUUUAUUCUUAACAUUUAGUUUAGACAGUCGUACGCGUAAGAACUCUCCUUUCGUUGUAGGCUUAGUGUAUAUCGGUGGAAUGUGGAUUGGUGUCUGCCUUUUACCGAGGCUAUGAAAGAGUAGACCAUGGAUCUGUGACAAGACGAGAAACAUGCAAUUUUCUCAGCUUUCAGUCAUAGGAAAAGUCAUUUAAUAGCUUUUACUCUCCAAGCAAUCGAGGAAUUGAAAGAAAUAUCCUAGUCCUUGAUUCUUGUCUUCUUUAUUCUACCUAGUUAGGAGCGGGUAAUAGAAAAAGAGUCUUACCUUGGCCUACGCCGGCUUAGCCUUUGGCUACUUACUCUUCUCCUUGCUUACUUACUUAGCUUAAUCAGUUCCUUUUAUUUUGUCCAAUCGUCAAGAUUUUCUUCUUUCUUUUCCUUGGUAUUUGUUUCCAUCUUCCUUUAGAGCACAAGGCC
rnacentral:lncRNA from 1 species